rnacentral:lncRNA from 1 species
UUCAGGUGAUCCUAGAAAACAGCAGCAUCAGGAGCAAGAGGCAGAUGUUCGGACGGGCUGCCUGGCCAGCAUUUCUUCCAGGCAUCUGACUCCCUCUCUGCAAAUGGAACCAGGUCUUUGCACCGGGUCUUCCAACAUUGUGGCUGAGGUCUCCCUGCCAUUCAUUAGUAGGGUGGGAUCAGGUCAGCAUGAGGCCCCUGGGAUCCGCCGGGACCCUCAGCUUAUUCGGUGCCAGACACUGUGCUAGGCACAGCAAGGUGCCUGGCUGGACUCGUCAGCUGGGAGUAAGCAGCUCCCAUGGAGAAGAAGAAGCUUGCAGUGUCGCACCACUCCCACUCCCGAGCAGGCCUCUUGGCCGGUGGAGGGUCACCCCCAGGUGUGGUGAGUCCAGAGCUCGAGAGAGACCAAGAGAGACAGACAGACAGACAGACAGAGAGGGAGGGAGGGAGCCCAACCACACCUGGGGCAAGAAGAUCAGGUCUCCCGGACUGUUUGCUUGAUGGCACAAGAGGCCACUUGGGUAAAUGACACCCUCUGAAAUUGCCUACCGCAGAAACACCAGGCCACUGGCCUCUCCUCCUCCCAGCCUAGGGUACCAGCAGUCAAAACCCACCCCCUGCAGCUGGGCAGCCAAGACAGCAGCCGGGAGUCGCCUCACCCACCGUCCCCUGUCCACCCGGCCUGGGCAGCCCGCUCCCUGCCCUGCUGAGUCAGGCUCUGAGGCGCAUCCUCAUGGGGAAGGAUUCUUCCUUCCUCCCCACCCCCGCUGGCUUUUCCUGCUUUGGCUCCCUGAAAGUCUCACUCUGGCCCAGAGAGGAGACUCAGCAUUUUCUUUCCCUUUGUGGCAGAUGCUCCAGAAAGGAGCAGAGCCUUGGGCUCUGCCGGCACCGCGCAGGCCUGGCACGGGCAUCGCUGUUGCUCUCGCCCUUGGAGUCUCCCGGAACCCCCAGCCAGCCCUCACCAGCUCACAGGCCCUCCUGCUGCACGAGGAGCUUCCAUCCAGAACUUUCCCUCUGUGAAGAAGCCAGUGUGUCUGGACAAGUGAAGCCAGCUCCAUGUAUCCGGAAUCCACCACAGGCUCCCCGGCUCGGCUCUCCCUGCGGCAGACAGGCUCCCCCGGGAUGAUCUACAGGUGACCCCCACACACCGGGCCAGGCCCACUGCCAGGGCCAGGCCCGCCUAUGAGGAGGGUCCCCGGGAGGCAGGAAGGACCAGGUGGGGUCAGGGGCUGUCCAGUGCACAGCCAUGACCAUUCUCACCGGGGAAGGAGCAGAAGCUCUUGAAAACCAAGGUGGGGGAGAAAAAGAUUUUCUGGGUGGAAUUUUCUGGUUCCAGACUCUUGUGACACAUUUUGCUGGUGGGUAUCUGGGGGCACCACUGUGCACGGGGCCCUUCCCACUUCCGUUUCUUGCAUUUUGCAUGCCCCACUCAGGAGGCUUUUGGUCCCUAUUUCCCCAGUCCCCUGAACAAGGCUCGUGACCUCUCAGCCCUUUAGGGAGCUGCGCCUGCGCAUUUUCCAACAGGCAGGCACAGCGGACACUCACGGGGCGCCCGACCUCCUUCCUGUGGAGGCCACCUCCAAGGCCAGCUCUGGGUACCCAGCGGCCACCUUGCAGCAGGCCCGGCCUGCAGAGGCCACUGAUGAGACCUGCCGCUCCAGAUCUCACCCCUCCACGAGACUGGGCCACCAGCAAUCUGCGGGUCCUUUCUAGAUCAUUGUUGGGCCUGAGCCACAGCCAUUGUCGGUGGAAACCCUGGGCGAGGGACGUCUGUCCUGAAAAGAGGUCAAAAGUCACUGCCUGUCACUCUGGGUGCGGCUGGAGGGCUCACUGUUGCUCUGCAUAUUAAGAUGUGACACCAUAAGGCCCUUUCCCAGGCACGGCAAGACCCAGACAGACCCUCUCCCAGAGAUUUACGUGGGAAAUAGGCCAGGCCUAUUUCCAGUGUCCGAUGUCCAGCCUCUGCCUCUGUGGCCACUGGGUGGCACUGCUGCAGAGCCCGUGGUUCCGGCUGCCUCCUGACUCGAGCUGUGCAGGGGGUGGGGCGUGGGGCUGCAGGCUGUCGCUGAAGCCUUCCGAGCUGGCCCCUGCCUGAGGUUAACACCAAUUGUGGACUGUCUUCUCUCUUUUGUUUUUUGUUUUCCUCCAUUGCUGUCCGAAGUACUCGGUAUGGGAGUCCCAAAAGACAGCUCCAGUUUUACAGGUAAUGAGUCCUUCGUUUUCCCUCCUCCCCAGCAAGCAGACAGGCAGGGGAGUGGGUGGGCAGAGCGUGCCCAUCGGGUCAGGCCAACUAGUGUCCCAUGAUGACACCAGGCCCUGCCGUCUCUCUGGGUGCCUCCCUCGGAGUGUGUGUCCAGUCCUGGUGGUAAUGUGCAGCCAGGGUCAUUGUGCUGUGGGCCGACGUGAACUUUGUUAUGAUUAGAACACAUGGACUUCUCAUCACUGCUUAGCUCUCAGCCACAUGGGCCAUUAAAACCUUGAGCAAGGGCCAGGGAUUUAGCUAAGUGGUUCUGCCGCCUGCCUCAAAAGCACAAGGUCCUGAGUUUGAUCCCCGGUACCAAAAACAAAAAAACCUCGAGCAUCCGGCCGUGGGUGGGACACACUCUUGCGGCCUCAGGCUUGUGCUUCCCCCAUUACCUAGUGAAGGCUCCAUGGUGAGCCAUCUGUUCUCCCUGUGCCUGUGGAUUUGGGCCGAUCUGGAACCAAUAGAGUUCUCAGGUUGGUGGAAGGCUAAUGACUUCAUGAUAGGCGUUCAUGGCACCUGUGGGAUCCGGAUCAGGGUCAAGGUGGAUGCAGGGC